rnacentral:lncRNA from 1 species
GUACUUGGAGUUCUUCCAGGGCGUUACCGUGACCACCCUAUGAGAUAUGGAAGGACGAAAAAUGGAUCUCUAAUGAAUACAAUCAUAUCUGUAAGCUACAGAUUUUACCAUCAAAAAUAUGAUUUAUUAGUAAAGCUGGCCACAUGGCACUGAAUUUACUGGCCUUUGUAUUAAUCAUAUAAAAUAGUGAUGGGAGUUAUAGUAGGCUGAUUCUGAGAUGGCUCCCUGUGAUCUCAUUGGAAGAGAGAUGUUUAUUAUGAUAUGACAAAAGCCUAGUGCUAAUGUGGUCUGCAGUUAUGCUGAAAACAGAAGAUAUACCUGAUAGACUUGGCUACAUGGCUAAGGAGAUUUCUGGGCAGUGGGGAAGACACUAUUUUUCUCUUGCUGCUUAUAGCAUGAUAGAAGAGCCAUAAAGUGAGGGAAGAAUAAAACAGGAGAGCAUAAGGUCAAAAAAAGGUACAUUAAGAGACAUCUGGCUUUAACUCCAAUGUGUAAAGUUCUUAAAAGUCAUUGCUUCCACUCUUACCACAAGAAGAACCUGAGUGAACUGAAAAUCAGUGACAAUUCGUGUAUCCAAAUGAGAAUGAAGUUCCUACAGCAAACAGCCACCCAGAAAUCUGCAAAGAUAGAUGAAUUAGGGGAGUCACAGCUGAGAUCUGUUUACCCGGUGCAGAAACCACUAGAAACAAACUCUUGGUAGCACUUCAGUGGUAAUGCUGAUGAUUUUCCGGAGCGCUAGUGUGGAGUUGCGUGAGAGUGAUAAACUCCUGGGGUCACACUCUUGGAAUCCCACACAGUUGUGGAUUUUACCUCCAGAAGCCCCACCAAGCUCUCACAGUAAAGAGUUGAGAAAAUGCCAUCAUGGUCAUGUGGGGCGCAUGGAAGAGAAGUUAUUGUGAAAUAUACCCAGAAUAUUCUCCAUAACAAAGACCUACCCUCCAGUGAGGGAUAAAACCUUUAGCAGAGACUUAUCCCACUUGAGGUAAGGUCACUUUUCACACUCUGGGCACCAAUAUCCUUCCUGUUCCUUGUAAGGGGAGAAGCAAAGCUAAGAAAUGCUUGUAAGGGACAUGGACCCCCUAAAAGACUGUGAUGUAAUCAUAAGAGUAUAGA